GCUACACCCCUCUCUCUCUCACUUGCUUGCCAUUUGGUUCAACCUGGUCACCCAGGUGACUGGGCUAGGUAAAUUCCUGAGGGGAGGGGGAGCUCGCUCUCUUCCUCCAGCAGCAUUUUGGAACACACAAGCAACAGCCUCCAGAGACUUUCUGGAUGAAUCAGAGGACACUAACAUUGCUGCAUCUUUCUUCCCAAUGGAUUUGGAGGAUCUUCUGCAGGCAUCAUUGAUGGUGCUUCUCCGACAACCUUAGAUGCUUCCUGUACAUUGUCCAUGGCUCAGCUCCACACAGCAAGGCACCCAAAGGCUGCACUUGCACAUUUGAGGCAAUGUUGGAUUUCUUCAUUGAUGUCACCCUUCUGUGAGAGAGAGCUUCUGAGGUACGGAAAAUACUCAACAUUCUCCAGAGUCUCAGCAUGGAUCUGAAUUACUUAAGCUGGGAUUGUUCAUUAGGAGCCUGCUGGUUGAGGAUCUUAGUCUUCUGAAUAACAACAAGGAAAUUUUUUUACCUCCCUACCUGCCAUCUGACACCUCCAGGGAAGAAAUUCUACGUGAUCAACACAUCAAAGAGCUACUCAACACAGCUCACAAAGACACUCUCAAGGACCCAGAGGGAUAGCCCUCCAUCUUCAGCUCCCUCUGUGCAAAAAUGAAGUUUAUUUCCUAUGGGAACUUUUUACCAUCUUGUACUAUCUACACUUUUCCCAGAGCCAGAUGAAGGGACUUUGAUCCUGAAAGCUUGCAGAAAAGGACAGUUUUCUUGCCAUUUUCCUUUUGGUCUAAUAAAAGGUAUCGUUUUGGAACCAAGAGCUCUAGCAUCACUAAAUCCAAGGCUAAAAUCAGAGGAAUCAAAGUGAUUGUUUGAGUGUUAAAACUAAAGUCAAGAAGGACAGUAAGAAGUCAAAUGGGUACUGACCCAGGAGAUAAUAUUAAAGCUGAAAAAUGCGAAGUGGGCAGAAGAUCAUCUACCAAUUUAUGCCAACACUCGGGAAAUAGGAACAUUAAUUAAGAUUAUUUUAUUACUUUAUUAAUAAUGAGGCCAUAUUGACUUGUAACAAGUCAGAACAUGCACACUAUUUCUUUGUAUUGUUAAUAGUACUACUUUCUGUUUUACUGCUUCGAAGUUUCAAUAUAUAUUAUAUGUCAAAUAGUAUAAGACAAAUUUAUAUUCAUUAUAUCACCAGGUCAUACUAGAAGUAGCUCAAAACAAUGUAAUCCAUAGAUUUGCUCCAGUCACUCUAUUUCUUCCCUCUAUGAUUAUUUAUUUCAGUGGCUCUCCUUUUCUAGUACUGUUCUUCUGACUGUUCUCAAAAAUCUGAUCAAUUUGGGUUCAAAAGUCUUAUCCUCUGUAGCUUCUGCCCUCUGAAACAGUCCUGUAUUUCUAAGCUUCAAUACUUUUUCAGAUCUCUUCUAAAAUCAUGAUGAUAAACCAGAUUUUCAUCUGGUGUAAGUCAACAUUGCUGCAUCGAUUUAGUGAGGCAAUGCUACUUUACAUGAACUUAGAGCCUUGCCUGCAUUAUCUCCAUUACCUAUGUCUCUGUUUUUUUCCUUCCUCAGCCAUUUUAACUGUCUCUCUAUGUAAGCUAGAAAGCAUUUGAGGACAUUUUUCAAGUGAAAUUUAUUAUUUGAAAUAGGUUGUAUGAUAAAUAAUAAAGAAAGAAACAGUGUAGUUUCCUUCUAUACAUCACUCCAAGUAAAAGAAAAAUGUUAGUACAUUAUGUUCAGAAGUCUACUCUCAUAAUGUAAUAGCAGCUGUCCUGUGUUGGCAGCUGGUGAUCUAGCUUUCUGAGCAGUGGAAAGACUCGAGGUACAGUAGGAACUGAAAUGAGAUAAAAGUAUGCGGGCUUUAGUGCACAUUUUAAGGCAUCCUUUCUGGACAAUCCAUAAAGCAGCAUUGAUGUAUCCUAGAUGAAGAUGACAACUUACCUUUCCUGUUUUUAAGCUAGUAGAAAAAGUAUCUCAGAAUAAGAAAGCAUAGUAACCUUGCAAUAUGAUGGGUUCUACAAAUACAGCAAUUUGGAAGUAGAAAAAGUUUGACACUAAGUUUCUGAGCUCGCUGAGUAUGUGUCCCAAAUAUUAUGGGAAAAAUGUCCUGAGUCCACAAUUUUGAGCUCCUUCCUGAAAUAAAAAACAAAUCUACCCUUGCUCUCUCAUGCUUCAGCCUUUGCAUUUCAUUGCAGAUACUGAAAUCUCCAUUCUUUUUUGACACUCAAAGAUGUUCCAAUCAAUAUUACUGGAAAUGUCAUUUGACUUUUCACUCAGACGAAAGGUGAUGCUGACAUUCUACUUUUCCUGUGUUUCCCUGGAGAACAUUUAAUCUCUAUGACCUUGAAGAUAUUUAAGAAACCAUUCACAAGAUAACAUUGCCUUGUGAUAGCCAGCAGGGACUUUCUCACAGACAGCAUUUUGCCUAUGGGAACCACAGAAAACAUCUGGAUUCAGAUAGAAAAAUUUAAAAAGUGAGAGCACAUUAUUGCUGUUCAUCAGUAGCACUCAAUGAUACAUCAUUAUUUCAGCCUGUUGGUAACAAUGCUGUGGGGUUUUUUAAGCAAAAUGACUGU